CCAGGUAGAGAAUACCAAGGCGAUUGAGAUAACUCUGGUUAAGGAACUCGGCAAAAUCCCUCCGUAACUUCGGGAGAAGGAGGACCUCGUUAGGGUGAAGGCACUUGCUGCCGGAGCUCGAAGAGGUGGCACAAAAUUGUGGGAAGCGACUGUUUACUAAAAACACAGCAGCGUGCGAAGCCGUAAGGCGCUGUAUACGCUGUGACGCCUGCCCGGUGCUGGAAGGUUACGGGGAAGGGUUAGCCCUCGGGCGAAGCUCUGAACCUAAGCCCCAGUAAACGGCGGCCGUAACUAUAACGGUCCUAAGGUAGCGAAAUUCCUUGUCGGGUAAGUUCCGACCUGCACGAAUGGCGUAACGACUUCCCAACUGUCUCAACCAGAGACUCAGCGAAAUUGAAGUACGAGUAAAGAUGCUCGUUAGCUGCAGAAGGACGGAAAGACCCCGUGGACCUUUACUAUAACUUGAUGUUGGGGUUUGUCAUGCGUUGUGUAGGAUAGGUGGGAGACUAGGAAGCAUUGGCGCCAGCUAGUGUGGAGUCAUCCUUGAAAUACCACCCUGCGUAUGGCGAGCCUCUAACCCAGACCCGUUAUCCGGGUCGGGAACAGCGUCAGGCGGGUAGUUUGACUGGGGCGGUCGCCUCCUAAAAUGUAACGGAGGCGCCCAAAGGUUCCCUCAGCCUGGUUGGCAAUCAGGCGUCGAGUGCAAUGGCAAAAGGGAGCUUGACUGCGAGACUGACAGGUCGAGCAGGAGCGAAAGCUGGGCAUAGUGAUCCGGCGGUUGCGUGUGGAAGCGCCGUCGCUCAACGGAUAAAAGGUACCCCGGGGAUAACAGGCUAAUCUUCCCCAAGAGUCCAUAUCGACGGGAAGGUUUGGCACCUCGAUGUCGGCUCAUCGCAUCCUGGGGCUGAAGCAGGUCCCAAGGGUUGGGCUGUUCGCCCAUUAAAGCGGUACGCGAGCUGGGUUUAGAACGUCGUGAGACAGUUCGGUCCCUAUCCUCUGUAGCCGUAGGUAGAUUGAGGAAAGCUAUCCCUAGUACGAGAGGACCGGGAUGGACGUAGCUCUCGUGUGCCAGUUGUCCUGCCAAGGGCAUGGCUGGUUAGCGACCUACGGACGAGAUAACCGCUGAAAGCAUCUAAGCGGGAAGCUUCUUCCAAGAUGAAUCUACCCACAGGGUUAACCUGGUAAGGCCCGUGGCAUACCACCACGUUGAUAGGCCGGAAGUGUAAGCGCAGUAAUGCGUUCAGCUGACCGGUACUAAUCGGCCGAGGGCUUG
rnacentral:rRNA from 1 species